rnacentral:misc_RNA from 1 species
AAGUCGUAACAAGGUUUCCGUAGGUGAACCUGCGGAAGGAUCAUUAGAAAGUUUGGCGGAAACGCCCUACCUUCAAACCACUGUGAAACCACCACGUUGCUUCGGCGGCUUCCGCGCCCCUCCCGGGGGGUGCCGGCUGUCAGCCCGCCAGAGGCCCAAAAACCAAACCAUUUUCUGUAACUGUCUGUCUGAUACAAUAAAUCUUUAAAUUUAUUAAAA